rnacentral:rRNA from 1 species
CAGUAGCCGCGGUAACACAGAGGGUGCAAGCGUUAAUCGGAAUUACUGGGCGUAAAGCGCGCGUAGGUGGUUUGUUAAGUUGGAUGUGAAAUCCCCGGGCUCAACCUGGGAACUGCAUCCAAAACUGGCAAGCUAGAGUAUGGUAGAGGGUGGUGGAAUUUCCUGUGUAGCGGUGAAAUGCGUAGAUAUAGGAAGGAACACCAGUGGCGAAGGCGACCACCUGGACUGAUACUGACACUGAGGUGCGAAAGCUAGGGGAGCAAAUGGGAUUAGAUACCCCUGUAGUCCCUGUCUCUUAUAC